rnacentral:rRNA from 1 species
AGUGAACGCUGGCGGCAGGCCUAACACAUGCAAGUCGAGCGGCAGCACAGGAGAGCUUGCUCUCUGGGUGGCGAGCGGCGGACGGGUGAGGAAUACAUCGGAAUCUACCCAGUUGUGGGGGAUAACGUAGGGAAACUUACGCUAAUACCGCAUACGACCUACGGGUGAAAGCAGGGGACCUUCGGGCCUUGCGCGAUUGGAUGAGCCGAUGUCGGAUUAGCUAGUUGGUGAGGUAAAGGCUCACCAAGGCGACGAUCCGUAGCUGGUCUGAGAGGAUGAUCAGCCACACUGGAACUGAGACACGGUCCAGACUCCUACGGGAGGCAGCAGUGGGGAAUAUUGGACAAUGGGCGCAAGCCUGAUCCAGCCAUGCCGCGUGUGUGAAGAAGGCCUUCGGGUUGUAAAGCACUUUUGUACGGGAAGAAACCUUCCGGGUUAAUACCCCGGG